ACGUGGGCAAUCUGCCCUGCACUCUGGGACAAGCCCUGGAAACGGGGUCUAAUACCGGAUACUGAUCCUCGCAGGCAUCUGCGAGGUUCGAAAGCUCCGGCGGUGCAGGAUGAGCCCGCGGCCUAUCAGCUAGUUGGUGAGGUAACGGCUCACCAAGGCGACGACGGGUAGCCGGCCUGAGAGGGCGACCGGCCACACUGGGACUGAGACACGGCCCAGACUCCUACGGGAGGCAGCAGUGGGGAAUAUUGCACAAUGGGCGAAAGCCUGAUGCAGCGACGCCGCGUGAGGGAUGACGGCCUUCGGGUUGUAAACCUCUUUCAGCAGGGAAGAAGCGAAAGUGACGGUACCUGCAGAAGAAGCGCCGGCUAACUACGUGCCAGCAGCCGCGGUAAUACGUAGGGCGCAAGCGUUGUCCGGAAUUAUUGGGCGUAAAGAGCUCGUAGGCGGCUUGUCACGUCGGUUGUGAAAGCCCGGGGCUUAACCCCGGGUCUGCAGUCGAUACGGGCAGGCUAGAGUUCGGUAGGGGAGAUCGGAAUUCCUGGUGUAGCGGUGAAAUGCGCAGAUAUCAGGAGGAACACCGGUGGCGAAGGCGGAUCUCUGGGCCGAUACUGACGCUGAGGAGCGAAAGCGUGGGGAGCGAACAGGAUUAGAUACCCUGGUAGUCCACGCCGUAAACGGUGGGCACUAGGUGUGGGCAACAUUCCACGUUGUCCGUGCCGCAGCUAACGCAUUAAGUGCCCCGCCUGG
rnacentral:rRNA from 1 species